rnacentral:lncRNA from 1 species
CGGCGUGUUCUCCGGGUCGGUGAACCUCAAGUACGUGAAGCUGGGGUACCAGUACCUGGUGAACCACUUCCUGACGCUGCUGCUGGUGCCGGUGAUGGCGGCGACGGCGCUGGAGCUGGCGCGCCUGGGCCCCGGCGAGCUGCUCACGCUGUGGCGGUCGCUGGAGCUCGACCUCGUCCACAUCCUCUGCUCCGCGUUCCUCGUCGUCUUCGUCGGCACCGUCUACGUCAUGUCGCGCCCGAGGCCCGUGUACCUGGUGGACUACUCCUGCUACAAGCCCCCCGCCAGCUGCCGGGUGCCCUUCGCCACCUUCAUGGAGCACACGCGCCUCAUCAGCGACGAUGAGAAGAGCGUGCGCUUCCAGACCAGGAUCCUCGAGCGCUCCGGGCUCGGGGAGGACACGUGCCUCCCGCCCGCCAACCACUACAUCCCGCCCAACCCCAGCAUGGAGGCAUCGCGCGCAGAGGCGCAGCUCGUCAUCUUCUCCGCCAUAGACGACCUCGUCCGACGCACGGGGCUCAAGCCCAAGGACAUCGACAUCCUCGUCGUCAACUGCAGCCUCUUCUCACCGACGCCCUCGCUCUCCGCCAUGAUCAUCAACAAGUACAAGCUCCGCAGCAACAUCCGCAGCUUCAACCUCUCCGGCAU